rnacentral:rRNA from 1 species
AUUGAACGCUGGCGGCAUGCCUUACACAUGCAAGUCGAACGGCAGCACGGGAGCAAUCCUGGUGGCGAGUGGCGAACGGGUGAGUAAUAUAUCGGAACGUGCCCAGUCGUGGGGAUAACGUAGCGAAAGCUACGCUAAUACCGCAUAUGAUCUAUGGAUGAAAGCGGGGGAUCGCAAGACCUCGCGCGAUUGGAGCGGCCGAUAUCAGAUUAGGUAGUUGGUGAGGUAAAGGCUCACCAAGCCGACGAUCUGUAGCUGGUCUGAGAGGACGACCAGCCACACUGGGACUGAGACACGGCCCAGACUCCUACGGGAGGCAGCAGUGGGGAAUUUUGGACAAUGGGCGCAAGCCUGAUCCAGCAAUGCCGCGUGCAGGAUGAAGGCCUUCGGGUU